rnacentral:rRNA from 1 species
AACGUAGGAGACAAACGUUAUCCGGAGUUACUGGGCGUAAAGGGCGUGUAGGUGGUUUCGUAAGUCUGGCGUGAAAUUUUUCGGCUUAACCGGGAAAGGUCGUCGGAUACUGCGGAACUAGAGGACAGUAGAGGCAGGUGGAAUUCCCGGUGUAGCGGUGGAAUGCGUAGAGAUCGGGAAGAACAUCAGUGGCGAAGGCGGCCUGCUGGGCUGUUGCUGACGCUGAGGCGCGACAGCGUGGGGAGCAAACAGG